AUCGUGCAUAACACAUGCAAGUCGAACGGGACUUGGUUUUGUAGCAAUACAGAAUUAAGUUUAGUGGCAGACGGGUGAGUAAUGUAUAAGGAAUCUACCUUCGAGUGGGGAAUAACAGUCCGAAAGGAUUGCUAAUACCCCAUAACAUAAUUAAGUGGCAUCACUUGAUUAUCAAAGAUUUAUCGCUUGAAGAUGAUCUUAUAUUCUAUCAGCUAGUUGGCAGUGUAACGGACUACCAAGGCUACGACGGAUAGCCGGCCUGAAAGGGCGACCGGCCACAAGGGCACUGAGACACGGGCCCUACUCCUACGGGAGGCAGCAGUGGGGAAUUUUGGACAAUGGGCGCGAGCCUGAUCCAGCAACGAUGCGUGGAGGACGAAGGUUUUCGGAUUGUAAACUCCUUUUGUGAGGGAAGAAACAAAUGACGGUACCUCACGAAUAAGCCACGGCUAACUACGUGCCAGCAGCCGCGGUAAGACGUAGGUGGCAAGCGUUACUCGGAAUUACUAGGCGUAAAGCGCGCGUAGGCGGAAUGUUAAGUCUGUUGUGUAAUCUCUGGGCUCAACCCAGAAACUGCAACAGAAACUGGCGUUCUUGAGUGAGGCAGAGGAAAUCGGAAUUCCUAGUGUAGCAGUGAAAUGCGUAGAUAUUAGGAGGAACACCGGUGGCGAAAGCGGAUUUCUGGGCCUUUACUGACGCUCAAGUGCGAAAGCUAGGGGAGCAAACGGGAUUAGAUACCCCGGUAGUCCUAGCCGUAAACGAUGAUAACUAGUUGUGGGAGGUAUCGACCCCUUCCGUGACGCCGCAAACGCAUUAAGUUAUCCGCCUGGGGAGUACGGCCGCAAGGUUAAAACUCAAAGGAAUUGACGGGGACCCGCACAAGAGGUGGAGUAUGUGGUUUAAUUCGACGCUACGCGAAAAACC
rnacentral:rRNA from 1 species